UGGGGCGUCGCCAAGCGGUAAGGCAGCGGUUUUUGGUACCGCCAUUCGGAGGUUCGAAUCCUUCUACCCCAG
rnacentral:tRNA from 1 species